rnacentral:rRNA from 1 species
UACGAAGGGGGCUAGCGUUGCUCGGAAUGACUGGGCGUAAAGGGCGCGUAGGCGGCUCACUGAGUCGGACGUGAAAUUCCUGGGCUUAACCUGGGGGCUGCGUUCGAUACCUGUGGACUAGAGUGGGGAAGAGGGUCGUGGAAUUCCCAGUGUAGAGGUGAAAUUCGUAGAUAUUGGGAAGAACACCAGUGGCGAAGGCGGCUAACUGGUCCAGAUCUGACGCUGAGGUGCGAAAGCGUGGGGAGCAAACAGG